AUUGAACGCUGGCGGCAUGCCUUACACAUGCAAGUCGAACGGCAGCACGGGGCAACCUGGUGGCGAGUGGCGAACGGGUGAGAAAUGCAUCGGAACGUACCUUUCAGUGGGGGAUAACGUAGCGAAAGUUACGCUAAUACCGCAUAUUCUGUGAGCAGGAAAGCAGGGGAUCGCAAGACCUUGCGCUGAUUGAGCGGCCGAUGUCAGAUUAGCUAGUUGGUGAGGUAAAGGCUCACCAAGGCGACGAUCUGUAGCGGGUCUGGGAGGAUGAUCCGCCCCACUGGAACUGAGACACGGUCCAGACUCCUACGGGAGGCAGCAGUGGGGAAUUUUGGACAAUGGGGGCAACCCUGAUCCAGCCAUGCCGCGUGAGUGAAGAAGGCCUUCGGGUUGUAAAGCUCUUUCGGCCGGGAAGAAAUCGCACAGGCUAAUACCUUGUGUGGAUGACGGUACCGGAAUAAGAAGCACCGGCUAACUACGUGCCAGCCGCCGCCGUAAGAC
rnacentral:rRNA from 1 species